UCCCAUGUAGCUCAGUUGGUAGAGCAUGGUGCUUACAACACCAGGGUUGUGGGUUUGAUUCCCACGGGGGAC
rfam:Salmo salar isolate Sally breed double haploid chromosome ssa15, whole genome shotgun sequence.